UACAGAGGUCUCAAGCGUUUGUUCGGAUUCAUUGGGCGUAAAGGGUGCGUAGGCGGCGCGGUAAGUCGGGUGUGAAAUCUUGGAGCUUAACUCCGAAACUGCAUUCGAUACUGCCGUGCUUGAGGACUGGAGAGGAGACUGGAAUUUACGGUGUAGCGGUGAAAAUGCGUAGAUAUCGUAAGGAAGACCAGUGGCGAAGGCGGGUCUCUGGACAGUUCCUGACACUGAGACACGAAGGCCAGGGGGAGCAAAACGGG
rnacentral:rRNA from 1 species